rnacentral:rRNA from 1 species
UGGGGAGUAUUGGGCAAUGGGCGCAAGCCUGACCCAGCAACGCCGCGUGAAGGAAGAAGGCUUUCGGGUUGUAAACUUCUUUGAUCAGGGACGAAAAAAAUGACGGUACCUGAAAAACAAGCCACGGCUAACUACGUGCCAGCAGCCGCGGUAAUACGUAGGUGGCGAGCGUUAUCCGGAUUUACUGGGUGUAAAGGGCGUGUAGGCGGUUUUGUAAGUCGGAUGUGAAAUUCCCAAGCUUAACUUGGGCGCUGCAUCCGAAACUGCGAAACUUGAGUACUGGAGAGGAUAGUGGAAUUCCUAGUGUAGCGGUAAAAUGCGUAGAUAUUAGGAGGAACAUCAGUGGCGAAGGCGACUAUCUGGACAGUAACUGACGCUGAGGCGCGAAAGCGUGGGGAGCAAACAGG